CCUACGAGAGGCAGCAGUGGGGAAUAUUGCUCAAUGGGGGCAACCCUGACGCAGCAACGCCGCGUGAUUUAAGAAGGCCUUCGGGUUGUAAAGAUCUUUAAUCGGGGACGAAUUCUGACUGUACCCUAAGAAUAAGCUCCGGCUAACUACGUUCCAGCAGCCGCGGUAAUACGUAGGAAGCAAGCGUUAGCCGGAUUUACUGGUUGUAAAGGGAGUGUAGGCGGGCAUGCAAGCAAGAAGUUAAAUCUGGGGGCUUAACCCCCAAACUGCUUUUGGAACUGCGUGUCUUGAGUGAUGGAGAGGCAGGCGGAAUUCCCAGUGUAGCGGUGAAAUGCGUAGAUAGUGGGAGGAACACCAGUGGCGAAGGCGGCCUGCUGGACAUUAACUGACGCUGAGGCGCGAAAGCGUGGGGAGCAAACAGGAUUAGAUACCCCUGUAGUC
rnacentral:rRNA from 1 species